CUACGGGUUGCUCCAGUGAGGAAUAUUGCACAAUGGGGGGAACCCUGAUGCAGCAACGCCGCGUGGAGGAUGACGCAUUUCGGUGUGUAAACUCCUUUUAUAUGUCAAGAAAAUGACGGUAGCACAUGAAUAAGCACCGGCUAACUCCGUGCCAGCAGCCGCGGUAAUACGGAGGGUGCAAGCGUUACUCGGAAUCACUGGGCGUAAAGGACGCGUAGGCGGGUUGGAAAGUCAGGUGUGAAAUCCUACAGCUUAACUGUAGAACUGCACUUGAAACUUCUAAUCUAGAGUAUGGGAGGGGGAGAUGGAAUUAGUGGUGUAGGGGUAAAAUCCGUAGAUAUCACUAGGAAUACCUAAAGCGAAGGCGAUCUCCUGGAACAUUACUGACGCUAAAGCGUGAAAGCGUGGGGAGCAAACAGGAUUAGAUACCCUAGUAGUC
rnacentral:rRNA from 1 species